rnacentral:rRNA from 1 species
CGUAGGUGGCAAGCGUUGUCCGGAAUUAUUGGGCGUAAAGCGCGCGCAGGUGGUUAAUAAGUCUGAUGUGAAAGCCCACGGCUCAACCGUGGAGGGUCAUUGGAAACUGUUAAACUUGAGUGCAGGAGAGAAAAGUGGAAUUCCUAGUGUAGCGGUGAAAUGCGUAGAGAUUAGGAGGAACACCAGUGGCGAAGGCGGCUUUUUGGCCUGUAACUGACACUGAGGCGCGAAAGCGUGGGGAGCAAACAGGAUU